GAUGAACGCUAGCUACAGGCUUAACACAUGCAAGUCGAGGGGCAUCAGUUUGGUUUGCUUGCAAACCAAAGCUGGCGACCGGCGCACGGGUGAGUAACACGUAUCCAACCUGCCUCAUACUCGGGGAUAGCCUUUCGAAAGAAAGAUUAAUAUCCGAUAGCAUAUAUUUCCCGCAUGGGUUUUAUAUUAAGGAAAUUCGGUAUGAGAUGGGGAUGCGUUCCAUUAGGCAGUUGGCGGGGUAACGGCCCACCAAACCGACGAUGGAUAGGGGUUCUGAGAGGAAGGUCCCCCACAUUGGUACUGAGACACGGACCAA
rnacentral:rRNA from 1 species